rnacentral:rRNA from 1 species
GACGAACGCUGGCGGCGUGCUUAACACAUGCAAGUCGAACGGUAAGGCCCUUCGGGGUACACGAGUGGCGAACGGGUGAGUAACACGUGGGUGAUCUGCCCUGCACUUCGGGAUAAGCCUGGGAAACUGGGUCUAAUACCGGAUAGGACCACUGCCUGCAUGGGUGGUGGUGGAAAGCUUUUGCGGUGUGGGAUGGGCCCGCGGCCUAUCAGCUUGUUGGUGGGGUGAUGGCCUACCAAGGCGACGACGGGUAGCCGGCCUGAGAGGGUGACCGGCCACACUGGGACUGAGAUACGGCCCAGACUCCUACGGGAGGCAGAAGUGGGGAAUAUUGCACAAUGGGCGCAAGCCUGAUGCAGCGACGCCGCGUGAGGGAUGACGGCCUUCGGGUUGUAAACCUCUCUCAGCACCGACGAAGCGCAAGUGACGGUAGGUGCAGAAGAAGGACCGGCCAACUACGUGCCAGCCGCCGCAGUAA